UGCAACGCUCACAAUAUCUCCUGGUUGCACUUGCUGUGCCAGUUCUUUCAGGUUCUCGUUUACGCGAUCCGCUACAAGUAAAAGCCAAGAUUUCAGGAAGAGCUGAUGCCUGACAUACCAAGCUGUGUUUCCCGGGCAGACGGGGCAAGAAGGCAGACUGUGUUUGGAGGAGGUUUGGUGCUUAGCCUUUCGCUCUGUACUUCCUGGAGUUCUCUGAGAAGACCGGUGGUUUCAUCAAGCUUCUUUUGGAACCGUUCUGCUUCUGCAAUGUUUAAAGUUAAAUAAUAAAUAUACAUAAUUCC